AACCCUUCAAGCACCGCUUGGUGUUGGGCGCUUGUCCCGCCGCGGGCGCGGACUCGCCUUGAAAGCAUUGGCGGCCUGUGUAUUGGCUUCGAGCGCAGCAGACUCGCGCGUCGUCCCCUUUCGCACCGGCGUCCAAACAAGCCAACCCCCCAAG
rnacentral:misc_RNA from 1 species